CGGACGAGAAGGUUCCUUCGGGAACUGGAGAGUGGCGCACGGGUGAGUAACGCGUGGGGACCUACCUCUUAGUGGGGGAUAACGGUUGGAAACGACCGCUAAUACCGCAUACGCCCUUCGGGGGAAAGAUUUAUCGCUAAGAGAUGGACCCGCGUUGGAUUAGAUAGUUGGUGAGGUAACGGCUCACCAAGUCAGCGAUCCAUAGCUGGUUUGAGAGGAUGAUCAGCAACACUGGGACUGAGACACGGCCCAGACUCCUACGGGAGGCAGCAGUGGGGAAUCUUAGACAAUGGGCGCAAGCCUGAUCUAGCCAUGCCGCGUGUGUGAUGAAGGCCCUAGGGUCGUAAAGCACUUUCGCCAGGGAUGAUAAUGACAGUACCUGGUAAAGAAACCCCGGCUAACUCCGUGCCAGCAGCCGCGGUAAUACGGAGGGGGUUAGCGUUGUUCGGAAUUACUGGGCGUAAAGCGCACGUAGGCGGACUAUUAAGUCAGGGGUGAAAUCCCGGGGCUCAACCCCGGAACUGCCCUUGAUACUGGUAGUCUUGAGUUCGAGAGAGGUGAGUGGAAUUCCGAGUGUAGAGGUGAAAUUCGUAGAUAUUCGGAGGAACACCAGUGGCGAAGGCGGCUCACUGGCUCGAUACUGACGCUGAGGCGCGAAAGUGUGGGGAGCAAACAGGAUUAGAUACCCUGGUAGUCCACAC
rnacentral:rRNA from 1 species